UACGAGAGGUGCAAGCGUUAUUCGGAUUUAUUGGGUGUAAAGGGCGCGUAGACGGUAUGUUAAGUUUGUUGUUAAAGCCUCCGGCUUAACUGGAGACGUGCAGCAAAUACUGGCGUACUAGAGGAUGGAAGAGAGAAGUGGAAUUCUUGGAGUAGCGGUAAAAUGCGUAGAUCUCAAGAGGAACACCGAUGGCGAAGGCAGCUUCUUGGUCCAUUCCUGACGUUGAGGCGCGAAAGCGUGGGGAGCAAACAGG
rnacentral:rRNA from 1 species